UGGGGUGUAGCCAAGCGGUAAGGCAACAGACUUUGACUCUGUCAUCUCGGUGGUUCGAUCCCACCCACCCCAGCCA
rnacentral:tRNA from 1 species